UCCGGCUUGACGCCGGCAGUCCCCCGAGAGUCCUCAGCUCGACCUGCUAGUAACACGGGGCAAGGGUUGCGCUCGUUGCGGGACUUAACCCAACAUCUCACGACACGAGCUGACGACAGCCAUGCAGCACCUGUGCACGGGUCCCGAAGGAGGGCCCGGCUUUCACCAGGCUUUCCCGUGCAUGUCAAACCCAGGUAAGGUGGGGAUGACGUGAGUGACCUUUGC
rnacentral:misc_RNA from 1 species